rnacentral:rRNA from 1 species
GUGUACUGAGUGGGAGUGUGUGGGGUGGUAGGUGGGUGGCGUGCGGUGUCUGGAUGGUGUGGGGGGAAAGUGUUCGUAGGUGGUCGUUCGCGUCGGAAGUGUAGUCUUGGGGCUUAGCCCUGAGCGUGCUUUCGAUACGGGUUGACUUGAGGAAGGUAGGGGAGAAUGGAAUUCCUGGUGGAGCGGUGGAAUGCGCAGAUAUCAGGAGGAACACCAGUGGCGAAGGCGGUUCUCUGGGCCUUUCCUGACGCUGAGGAGCGAAAGCGUGGGGAGCGAACAGGAUUAGAUACCCCGGUAGUC